CCUACGGGAGGCAGCAGUGAGGAAUAUUGGUCAAUGGGCGCUAGUCUGAACCAGCCAAGCCGCGUGAAGGAUGACGGCCCUAUGGGUUGUAAACUUCUUUUAUAUGAGGAUAAACUGUGCUACGUGUGGGAUUUUGUAUGUAUCAUAUGAAUAAGGAUCGGCUAACUCCGUGCCAGCAGCCGCGGUAAUACGGAGGAUUCAAGCGUUAUCCGGAUUUAUUGGGUUUAAAGGGAGCGUAGGUGGAUGGAUAAGUCAGUUGUGAAAGUUUGAGGCUCAACCGUGAAAUUGCAGCUGAAACUGGCAGGCUAGAGAGCAGUAGAGGUGGGCGGAAUGCAUGGUGUAGCGGUGAAAUGCUUAGAGAUCACGAAGAACUCCGAUUGCGAAGGCAGCUCACUGGACUGCAACUGACACUGAGGCACGAAAGUGUGGGUAUCAAACAGGAUUAGAUACCCCAGUAGUC
rnacentral:rRNA from 1 species